AAAUUGAAGAGUUUGAUCAUGGCUCAGAUUGAACGCUGGCGGCAGGCCUAACACAUGCAAGUCGAACGGUAACAGGAAGCAGCUUGCUGUUUUGCUGACGAGUGGCGGACGGGUGAGUAAUGUCUGGGAAACUGCCUGAUGGAGGGGGAUAACUACUGGAAACGGUAGCUAAUACCGCAUAACGUCGCAAGACCAAAGAGGGGGACCUUAGGGCCUCUUGCCAUCGGAUGUGCCCAGAUGGGAUUAGCUAGUAGGUGGGGUAACGGCUCACCUAGGCGACGAUCCCUAGCUGGUCUGAGAGGAUGACCAGCCACACUGGAACUGAGACACGGUCCAGACUCCUACGGGAGGCAGCAGUGGGGAAUAUUGCACAAUGGGCGCAAGCCUGAUGCAGCCAUGCCGCGUGUAUGAAGAAGGCCUUCGGGUUGUAAAGUACUUUCAGCGGGGAGGAAGGGAGUAAAGUUAAUACCUUUGCUCAUUGACGUUACCCGCAGAAGAAGCACCGGCUAACUCCGUGCCAGCAGCCGCGGUAAUACGGAGGGUGCAAGCGUUAAUCGGAAUUACUGGGCGUAAAGCGCACGCAGGCGGUUUGUUAAGUCAGAUGUGAAAUCCCCGGGCUCAACCUGGGAACUGCAUCUGAUACUGGCAAGCUUGAGUCUCGUAGAGGGGGGUAGAAUUCCAGGUGUAGCGGUGAAAUGCGUAGAGAUCUGGAGGAAUACCGGUGGCGAAGGCGGCCCCCUGGACGAAGACUGACGCUCAGGUGCGAAAGCGUGGGGAGCAAACAGGAUUAGAUACCCUGGUAGUCCACGCCGUAAACGAUGUCGACUUGGAGGUUGUGCCCUUGAGGCGUGGCUUCCGGAGCUAACGCGUUAAGUCGACCGCCUGGGGAGUACGGCCGCAAGGUUAAAACUCAAAUGAAUUGACGGGGGCCCGCACAAGCGGUGGAGCAUGUGGUUUAAUUCGAUGCAACGCGAAGAACCUUACCUGGUCUUGACAUCCACGGAAGUUUUCAGAGAUGAGAAUGUGCCUUCGGGAACCGUGAGACAGGUGCUGCAUGGCUGUCGUCAGCUCGUGUUGUGAAAUGUUGGGUUAAGUCCCGCAACGAGCGCAACCCUUAUCCUUUGUUGCCAGCGGUCCGGCCGGGAACUCAAAGGAGACUGCCAGUGAUAAACUGGAGGAAGGUGGGGAUGACGUCAAGUCAUCAUGGCCCUUACGACCAGGGCUACACACGUGCUACAAUGGCGCAUACAAAGAGAAGCGACCUCGCGAGAGCAAGCGGACCUCAUAAAGUGCGUCGUAGUCCGGAUUGGAGUCUGCAACUCGACUCCAUGAAGUCGGAAUCGCUAGUAAUCGUGGAUCAGAAUGCCACGGUGAAUACGUUCCCGGGCCUUGUACACACCGCCCGUCACACCAUGGGAGUGGGUUGCAAAAGAAGUAGGUAGCUUAACCUUCGGGAGGGCGCUUACCACUUUGUGAUUCAUGACUGGGGUGAAGUCGUAACAAGGUAACCGUAGGGGAACCUGCGGUUGGA
rnacentral:rRNA from 1 species